rnacentral:tRNA from 1 species
GAAAUAUGUUGAACAAGUGGAAGCUGCUAACUAACCACUUUAGCGGUUCAAUUCCGUUUAUAUUUCU